AUAAAAGCCCUGAAUAUGGUUGCUGAAAUCAUACAGUAUUCUUUUAACUAUUCAAACAACACAAACAAAUAUCAAAAUGAAAACUUUCUUUGCCGUCGUCGCCGUUGCCGUCAUGAACUUGCUGGCCAUUGCUUCAGCUGAACCCCUCUUGAAUGCCUUGCCUUUGGAUGCCUUGAGCAGCUUGACUGGUGGCAAGUGAGAAGCUUGACAAUUUAGCUAAUUGUUUAACAAAGAAAGGAAAUGGAAUAUGGCGAUGGACAAGGACAUGAAUUAUAACUACAAUAAACUUUGUUAAAUACAUAACAUUAUUUGAGCAAUAAAUUCAAGAAAAUUAAAAAAA